rnacentral:rRNA from 1 species
CCUACGGGUGGCAGCAGUGAGGAAUAUUGGUCAAUGGGCGAGAGCCUGAACCAGCCAAGCCGCGUGAAGGAAGAAGGCGCCAGGCGUUGUAAACUUCUUUUAUCGGGGAAUAAAGUGCGCCACGCGUUCCGUUUUGUAUGUACCCUAAGAAUAAGCAUCGGCUAACUCCGUGCCAGCAGCCGCGGUAAUACGGAGGAUGCGAGCGUUAUCCGGAUUUAUUGGGUUUAAAGGGUGCGUAGGCGGUCCGGAAAGUCAGCGGUAAAAGCCGGGGGCUCAACCAAAGAGAGCCGGUGAAAAUGGUGGACUAGAGUAGGCGAGAAGUACGCGGAAUGCGGGGUGUAGCGGUGAAAUGCAUAGAUAUCGCGCAGAACUCCGAUUGCGAAGGCAGCGUAC